CCAUUGGUGUUUCAGUGGUAGAAUACUCACCUUCCAUAUGGGAGACCUAGGCUUGAGUCCUGACCAAUGCA
rnacentral:tRNA from 1 species